rnacentral:tRNA from 1 species
GCUCCUAUCGGCUAAAUGGACAGGCCGUCAUACUUUCAAUCUGGAAAUCCGAGUUCGAUCCUCGGUGGGAGUGCCA